rnacentral:rRNA from 1 species
UAGGGAAUCUUCCGCAAUGGACGCAAGUCUGACGGAGCAACGCCGCGUGAGUGAAGAAGGAUUUCGGUUCGUAAAACUCUGUUGUUAGAGAAGAACAGCGCAUAGAGUAACUGUUAUGCGUGUGACGGUAUCUAACCAGAAAGCCACGGCUAACUACGUGCCAGCAGCCGCGGUAAUACGUAGGUGGCAAGCGUUGUCCGGAUUUAUUGGGCGUAAAGCGAGCGCAGGCGGUCAAUUAAGUCUGAUGUGAAAGCCCCCGGCUCAACCGGGGGGGGUCAUUGGAAACUGGUUGACUUGAGUGCAGAAGAGGAGAGUGGAAUUCCAUGUGUAGCGGUGAAAGGCGUAGAUAUAUGGAGGAACACCAGUGGCGAAGGCGACUCUCUGGUCUGUAGCUGACGCUGAGGCUCGAAAGCGUGGGUAGCAAACAGG